rnacentral:rRNA from 1 species
GGGCCCGCACAAGCGGUGGAGCAUGUGGUUUAAUUCGAUGAUACGCGAGGAACCUUACCAGGGCUUAAAUGGAAAAUGACAGGGGCAGAGACGCCCCCUUCUUCGGACAUUUUUCAAGGUGCUGCAUGGUUGUCGUCAGCUCGUGCCGUGAGGUGUCAGGUUAAGUCCUAUAACGAGCGCAACCCCUACCGUUAGUUGCCAGCGAGUAAUGUCGGGGACUCUAACGGAACUGCCGGUGCAAACCGUGAGGAAGGUGGGGACGACGUCAAAUCAUCACGGCCCUUACGUCCUGGCCACACACGUGCUACAAUGGUAGGUACAGAGGGAAGCCACCCCGCGAGGGGGAGCGAA